rnacentral:rRNA from 1 species
AUUGAACGCUGGCGGCAUGCCUUACACAUGCAAGUCGAACGGAAACAGGUCUCUUGAUGCUGACGCGUGGGGAACGGGCGAGUAAUACACAGGUACGUACCCGACCGUUGGGGAUAGGGUAACGUAAGGAAACCGAAUAUAAUAUAAGAUCUACGGUUGAACGCAGUGGACCGCAAGGGCUAGCGCGAACGGAUCGGCCGGUGGCAGAUUAGGUAGUUGGUGGGAUAAAGGCUUACCAAGGCGACGAUCUGUAGCCGGUCUGAGAGGACGACCGGCCACACUGGAACUGAGACACGGCCCAGACUCCUACGGGAGGCAGCAGUAGGGAAUUUUGGGCAAUGGGCGAAAGCCUGAUCCAGCAAUGCCGCGUGCGGGAUGAAGGCCUUCGGGUCGUAAACUGCUUUUGUACGGAACGAAAAGAUUCUGGUUAAUACCUGGGGUCCAUGACGGUACCGUAAGAAUAAGCACCGGCUAACUACGUG